rnacentral:rRNA from 1 species
UACGGAGGGUGCAAGCGUUAUCCGGAUUUACUGGGUUUAAAGGGUGCGUAGGCGGGCUUUUAAGUCAGCGGUGAAAUCUCCGGGCUCAACCCGGAAAUUGCCGUUGAUACUAUUAGUCUUGAAUUAAGUUGAGGUGGGCGGAAUAUGUCAUGUAGCGGUGAAAUGCUUAGAUAUGACAUAGAACACCGAUUGCGAAGGCAGCUCGCUAAACUUAUAUUGACGCUGAGGCACGAAAGCGUGGGGAUCAAACAGG